UAUCCACUAAUCUCCGGCUAAUUUCCACCAAAAAUGCCCCGCUUAUCGACCUCCACAACCCCCAGCCGCCCCCAGUAACCCGCCGCCCCCUCAAGCCCCCGUCCCGCUCGACCAAUCAAGAGUGCCCAUACCGGAAGUACGUCAAACAAAUACGCAUCUGCAUUGACAGCCAUUUUACUUCGGCGACAAGUGCGUGCAUCGAGCGUAUUUACAAAUACGCUUAUAUUUUUAAGGUGUGUGACUGUGUGUGAGUGAGUGAGUAUGUCGGUGGAGUACCUGCAAGUGGCCGAGGACGAGGGCGAAGAGCCCAUCGAGCUCCCCACCGAGGACGACGGGACGUUGCUCCUGAGCACCCUCUCGGCACAGUUCCCGGGCUCCUCGGGGCUCAAGUACAGGAAUCCCGAGACGAAAGCCAUGCGUGGAGUGCGUCUGAGCGAGGGGCGGCUGCAUCCGCCCCCGGAGAUCGGAUGGGGCUCGCAGAUCUUCUACUGUGUCUUUCCGAAAGGUUGGCUUGUUUGUGAGAAUAAACGCAAGUCCGACGACAACCUAGAGAACUCAACGGCGAAAACGAAACGUAUGGAGACUAAGUUGAGGUGUACAGAUUUAAUAGUGUUGGGCUUGCCAUGGAAAACCACAGAGCAGAAUCUGCGGGAGUAUUUUGAAACUUUUGGAGAAGUCUUGAUGGCUCAAGUUAAAAAAGACCCCAAAACUGGACAGUCGAAGGGCUUUGGGUUCAUUAGGUUUGCUUCGUAUGAAUCACAGAUGAGAGUGUUGGCGCAAAGGCAUAUGAUUGAUGGGCGGUGGUGUGAUGUGAAAGUACCGAAUUCUAAAGAAGGCUUGAUCCAGCAAGUGCCGUGCAAAGUCUUCAUAGGCCGCUGCACUGAAGAACUGACCGCCGACGACCUCCGCGAGUACUUUGGGAAGUACGGCGAGGUCACCGACGUGUUCAUCCCGAAACCGUUCCGCGCGUUCAGUUUCGUCACCUUCCUCGACCCGGAAGUAGCCCAGAGUCUCUGCGGCGAAGACCACAUAAUCAAAGGCGUGUCGGUGCACGUAUCGAACGCCGCCCCCAAGUCGGAGACGAGAGGUGGCGGCUACGGGGGCGGCGGUCCCCGCGGCGGCAACCACGGCAAUAACCGGAGCGGUCCCGGUCCCGACGGGCCCGGCAUGUACCAGCAGAGGUACAACCCGGGGCCGAAUCAAGGCAACUGGAACAACCAGGGGCCCAGGGGGAACAUAGACAUGCCCAACUUGCAGGCACUCGGUAUAACCGGUCAAGGGCAGCAGAGUAGUAACCAGCAAGGUUGUAACCCACUCGGUUUGGGUUUGAAUUUGAGCGCUUUACCAAUGAAUCCCGCUCUGGUCGCUGCCGCAUUGAAUCAAGCCGGCUGGGGGCUUAUCGGUAAUUUGCAGAAUCAACCCGAACCUAAUUUCAAUCAGGGUUUCAACAACGGCCCCAACAAUAACAGCGGCAACACGCCGAACGGCAGCAACCAGGGGGGUAGCAGCAAUCCGGGAUUCCUGAAUUGGAUGAAUCAGGGCGGUCAAAACCAAGAUGGCGGCCAGUGGCCGAGGCCGCCCCCCCAGCAGGACCAGGCAAACAAGGGAUUUCUCAAGUACGACUAAAUCAAAUAUAGUUUAUCCUCCACCCCAUCCAGUAACUCUAUCUCUCGUUUCCUUUUUUUUUUUUUUGGUGUUUUUUCUCUCUCGAAAUCGCCACUAGUGUGUGUCUCAACUUUAAAAAUAAUAUAUACAUAUUUCACAGACAAGCACAGAGCAAAAGUUUCGGAAAGCGCGGCUUGUGUGAAUGCGUUUGAAAUUUUUCGUUUUUGACAGUGAAUCAUGAGGACUAGUCAAUUUUUUUAACAUACUCUCAGUGCGCGUUGUGCGGGAUCUUGUACAUAUUGUGGAUACUUCGGACUUUCCGGAAGAUUUGCUCGUCGUAGUUUAGGUGGUAGGAACAUGUAACACUUUUGUUGUUGGUACUGUUUUUAUUUUUUCAACCGGAUCCGGUUUCUUUAGUUUUAUCCUUUCUACCAACAGCGUGCAUCACGACGUUUGGAUUUUCUCGACGUAAGAUUUUUACUAAAAGUGAAGAAAUGUAUCGUGACUGUAUUUUAUGCGCCUGUUUAUUCUGUUUGACUGGGUUUUUUAAAAAUGUAAAAGAGGUGAUCUUAUUAUAUGAGUGCAGAUGAUCUGUGUUUUGUUUUUAUUUUUUCAGAAAAAUCCCUGUGACUGUAGUAGCGAGCGCAACGCUAACUAGCGGGAGAAAUGUGCACGCGGGCUGUUUGAUACGUUUCACACCCGUGCAGAUUUUUCCCUAGAUACGCUUAAUCGUGUGCGCGAGCUCUCCUCUCUUCCUGUCUCUUAAGUAUCAUACGUUAGUUUGCAUGAAGAGACUAAAAGACUACUGUUAAAACAGAGUGGUUUAAAAGUGUGGUGAAUGUCAUUUGCUUAAAUGGGGGACGAAUGGUGGAACAUGCGGGGUGUGAAGACGUCUGACUGAGUUCCUGGGAUUGGUGUUGAAGAGUGGCGCGUCUGGCCGACUGAAGACUGAUUUCGUUUGGAGAAUUUUGAAGAAGAUUUUCAUAAGAUUGAUAAUAAAAUAUUUGAUUUUGAA